AAAAGGAAUAAAUAAAAAACUACAUAUACAAAAGAAAGUCCCUUUAAGAAACAAGUCCUCUUUGGACUUGUUUCUUAAAGGGACUUUCUUUUGUAUAUGUAGUUUUUUAUUUAUUC
rnacentral:sRNA from 1 species